rnacentral:rRNA from 1 species
UACAGAGGGGGCAAGCGUUGUUCGGAAUUACUGGGCGUAAAGGGCUCGUAGGCGGCCAACUAAGUCAGACGUGAAAUCCCUCGGCUUAACCGGGGAACUGCAUCUGAUACGGGAUCGCUUGAGGAUCGGAGAGGCAAGGGGAAUUCCACGUGUAGCGGUGAAAUGCGUAGAGAUGUGGAGGAACACCUGUGGCGAAGGCGCCUUGCUGGCCGAUUUCUGACGCUGAGGCGCGAAAGCGUGGGGAGCAAACAGG